GGGCAAGUUAGUUGCUCCAAAUACAAGAUAAAGUGAUUGAGUUCUUUUCUCAAGCGGGAGUCGGAGUUUAUCCACUCUUAGAAAUAUUGAUGAUAAAGAGGAAACUAACUUUCUGAACCAUUAAAUGUGAUAUCAUUUAUCUCACCAAAUCCCAAGAUAGAGCCCCAGCAGCUACUAUUAAUGAGUGUCUGGAAUAUGUUCCUGGCAUUUCACCUACACUCUCUCCAAUCCUUCCAAGAAACUCACAAAGCAGGGCUUUUUCUUGAACUUCUCUUCCUCACAACAGUUAAAUCAUCCAUUUAAAGAUGUCAGACAAGCUCUGUGUUCUAAGCCAGACCAUCAAUUUAACUUGUAAAACUACCAACUGUUGCUACACACAGGCAAAGGAAUUAAACUUGGUAGCUGAUCAUUUGAUUACAUCUAUCAGUCUACUGGAGGGCUUCAACGCAGAGUAGGUGGAAUUCAUGGUUCAAAUCAGAGUAUUAAUGGGAUCUGUUUGCACACCAAUACCUGAUCUCCUUGGCACAAAUACAGAGCUGAUUCUUAAAGCAUGUCCCCACAAUAAAGCUUUUCUUAAU
rnacentral:antisense_RNA from 1 species